rnacentral:rRNA from 1 species
GUUGACCUCGGAUCAUGUAGGAUGACCCGCUGAACUUAAGCAUAU